rnacentral:rRNA from 1 species
UACGUAGGGGGCAAGCGUUGUCCGGAAUCAUUGGGCGUAAAGAGCGCGUAGGCGGCCCUGUAAGUCCGCUGUGAAAGUCCGGGGCUCAACUCCGGAUCUGCGGUGGGUACGGGCAGACUAGAGUGAUGUAGGGGAGACUGGAAUUCCUGGUGUAGCGGUGAAAUGCGCAGAUAUCAGGAAGAACACCCGUGGCGAAGGCGGUUCUCUGGAACGCAACUGACGCUGAGACGCGAAAGCGUGGGGAGCAAACAGG